rnacentral:misc_RNA from 1 species
ACCUACUUGAUUAUUAUAAUCCUCAAACUUGGCUACGAGAAGUCAAAUUGAAUUUGAAUAUUUUGUUAGUCAAAUCCAUUGUUAUACUUCUACUUGAAGGGCAUUCAGGAUCAGUACUUUUAUCUGUUUUGAUUUCUCAAUAGGUUAAGCAUCAGUAACUUAUUAAAGAAAUGCUAAUAGUUUUUGGCAUUAAAGUUGUACCUGUCCAAUUGUCAAAAAACAAUAAUUUCCCUCAUUUUUAUUGAGGCUUUUCCUGAUGUAUUUACCAAGAGUUGUCUAUUAUUGAUGUUG